CAUCUGGAAAGAUGAAUCAAAGAAGGUAAUAAUCCUGUAGUCGAAAAUGUUGUCUCUCUUGAGUGGAUCCUGAGUACGACGGAGCACGUGAAAUUCCGUCGGAAUCUGGGAGGACCAUCUCCUAAGGCUAAAUACUCUCUAGUGACCGAUAGUGAACCAGUACCGUGAGGGAAAGGUGAAAAGCACCCCGGAAGGGGAGUGAAAUAGAACCUGAAACCGUGUGCUUACAAGUAGUCAGAGCCCGUUAAUGGGUGAUGGCGUGCCUUUUGUAGAAUGAACCGGCGAGUUACGAUUUGAUGCAAGGUUAAGCAGUAAAUGUGGAGCCGUAGCGAAAGCGAGUCUGAAUAGGGCGUUUAGUAUUUGGUCGUAGACCCGAAACCAGGUGAUCUACCCUUGGUCAGGUUGAAGUUCAGGUAACACUGAAUGGAGGACCGAACCGACUUACGUUGAAAAGUGAGCGGAUGAACUGAGGGUAGCGGAGAAAUUCCAAUCGAACCUGGAGAUAGCUGGUUCUCUCCGAAAUAGCUUUAGGGCUAGCCUCAAGUGAUGAUUAUUGGAGGUAGAGCACUGUUUGGACGAGGGGCCCCUCUCGGGUUACCGAAUUCAGACAAACUCCGAAUGCCAAUUAAUUUAACUUGGGAGUCAGAACAUGGGUGAUAAGGUCCGUGUUCGAAAGGGAAACAGCCCAGACCACCAGCUAAGGUCCCAAAAUAUAUGUUAAGUGGAAAAGGAUGUGGCGUUGCCCAGACAACUAGGAUGUUGGCUUAGAAGCAGCCAUCAUUUAAAGAGUGCGUAAUAGCUCACUAGUCGAGUGACACUGCGCCGAAAAUGUACCGGGGCUAAACAUAUUACCGAAGCUGUGGAUUGUCCUUUGGACAAUGGUAGGAGAGCGUUCUAAGGGCGUUGAAGCAUGAUCGUAAGGACAUGUGGAGCGCUUAGAAGUGAGAAUGCCGGUGUGAGUAGCGAAAGACGGGUGAGAAUCCCGUCCACCGAUUGACUAAGGUUUCCAGAGGAAGGCUCGUCCGCUCUGGGUUAGUCGGGUCCUAAGCUGAGGCCGACAGGCGUAGGCGAUGGAUAACAGGUUGAUAUUCCUGUACCACCUAUAAUCGUUUUAAUCGAUGGGGGGACGCAGUAGGAUAGGCGAAGCGUGCGAUUGGAUUGCACGUCUAAGCAGUAAGGCUGAGUAUUAGGCAAAUCCGGUACUCGUUAAGGCUGAGCUGUGAUGGGGAGAAGACAUUGUGUCUUCGAGUCGUUGAUUUCACACUGCCGAGAAAAGCCUCUAGAUAGAAAAUAGGUGCCCGUACCGCAAACCGACACAGGUAGUCAAGAUGAGAAUUCUAAGGUGAGCGAGCGAACUCUCGUUAAGGAACUCGGCAAAAUGACCCCGUAACUUCGGGAGAAGGGGUGCUCUUUAGGGUUAACGCCCAGAAGAGCCGCAGUGAAUAGGCCCAAGCGACUGUUUAUCAAAAACACAGGUCUCUGCUAAACCGUAAGGUGAUGUAUAGGGGCUGACGCCUGCCCGGUGCUGGAAGGUUAAGAGGAGUGGUUAGCUUCUGCGAAGCUACGAAUCGAAGCCCCAGUAAACGGCGGCCGUAACUAUAACGGUCCUAAGGUAGCGAAAUUCCUUGUCGGGUAAGUUCCGACCCGCACGAAAGGCGUAACGAUUUGGGCACUGUCUCAACGAGAGACUCGGUGAAAUCAUAGUACCUGUGAAGAUGCAGGUUACCCGCGACAGGACGGAAAGACCCCGUGGAGCUUUACUGUAGCCUGAUAUUGAAAUUCGGCACAGCUUGUACAGGAUAGGUAGGAGCCUUUGAAACGUGAGCGCUAGCUUACGUGGAGGCGCUGGUGGGAUACUACCCUAGCUGUGUUGGCUUUCUAACCCGCACCACUUAUCGUGGUGGGAGACAGUGUCAGGCGGGCAGUUUGACUGGGGCGGUCGCCUCCUAAAAGGUAACGGAGGCGCUCAAAGGUUCCCUCAGAAUGGUUGGAAAUCAUUCAUAGAGUGUAAAGGCAUAAGGGAGCUUGACUGCGAGACCUACAAGUCGAGCAGGGUCGAAAGACGGACUUAGUGAUCCGGUGGUUCCGCAUGGAAGGGCCAUCGCUCAACGGAUAAAAGCUACCCCGGGGAUAACAGGCUUAUCUCCCCCAAGAGUUCACAUCGACGGGGAGGUUUGGCACCUCGAUGUCGGCUCAUCGCAUCCUGGGUCUGUAGUCGGUCCCAAGGGUUGGGCUGUUCGCCCAUUAAAGCGGUACGCGAGCUGGGUUCAGAACGUCGUGAGACAGUUCGGUCCCUAUCCGUCGUGGGCGUAGGAAAUUUGAGAGGAGCUGUCCUUAGUACGAGAGGACCGGGAUGGACAUACCUCUGGUGUACCAGUUGUCGUGCCAACGGCAUAGCUGGGUAGCUAUGUGUGGACGGGAUAAGUGCUGAAAGCAUCUAAGCAUGAAGCCCCCCUCAAGAU
rnacentral:rRNA from 1 species